UACAGUCACACUCUAUGGGGGUGAUUGGUUGGGAUUUAGCAAGUGACUUUAGCUUUAAUUUUUAUCUACAGCUUUAAAAUCACCAAUCAUGCUUUACAUUACUUUUUAAAGCUACAACCAAAAAAUUAAAGUUACAGCCAAAAAACAAAAAAAACUAGCUGUAAAAGUCUUAUUUUCUAAAGCUCCAUCUUUUUGGCUGUAGGAAAUUUUAAAGGUACAGCUCUUAAAGCUAAAUCAAAAAAUCCUACAGACAAAAUUCUAAAGUAAAUUUCUAAAGUUACAACUCAACCAAUCACCCCCACUAUCUCAGAAGUUAAAUGCUAACAUAAAUUAUUGUAAUUAAAAUUUAUAUAUUAGAAUGAUAGAUCACUUACGAAAGGCAAUUUAAAAUUUAAAAUCAGUAUUUCACAGUUUUUGUGGAAUAUCUUACAGAAAAGCCGUCUUUUUAACUUUUUCAUCCUUUUUAAAUAAUUCUUUAUCUAUCUAUCUAUCUAUAAAGAAGAGUUUCUUCUUCUCUUCUUAGGACACGUUGGAUUCCAGGUAGAUAAGUCGGUUUCUGUCAAGGCGACUUGUGUCCUAUGUAAACAAAACUCAGCGUUUCAGUACAUAGCUUUCUUAAACUCUGAGUUUCAUAGACAUGGAGACCAGCCACAAAUUUUUUUAGGGUUUGGUGUUCUUCUUCGACAAUGAAUCAAAGAGUCUUUUUUAUCUUCGAUCUCUGCAAAGCGGUUUCUAUAUUUUAGACUUUUUCAUCAAUCCUUUUUCAGAAUAGAAGUCAUCCCUUUGUUUUUCAACCGUGGAGGUGAGAUUGACAGAAACGCCAAAUGCGGUGGAAAGAGUUUCCGUCACCGGCUGAUCCGGAAAUCAAGUGAUUGAAUCACGAGCAGGGAGAGAUGGGUUUGGGUUUGAUCUUGGACUCGACAAAGGAUGAUGAACCAGAUACAUAUAUUCACAGAUAUGGUGGUUACUUAGUCUAGGACCCGAUAUGCUUAUUUUUAAAGAUCACUUUACCCGAUAUGCUUAUUUUUAAAGAUCACUUUCGCCUGAAAUUUUUUCGUUUAUGUCCUCAACUUCUCCAUCUUUAAUGUUGUGUUUCAUGUACUCUUCAGUCUCUUUGUUAUGUAGCUAAGUGCUGGCUUUCUCUUUACAUCUUUUUGGUUUCAGAAAGUGAAUAGAGAAAUCAUUGGAUGAAUGGUUCCUAAAGGUAUUGUUUUUGUUGUUGUUGUUAUUGAAGUUGCUUUGUCGAUGACAAAGAAGAAAAGAAAGGAGGGAUCAGAAGGAGAGUAUUGUUGAUGGUAUUGGAGAGACUGUCGAAAAAUAUAACUAUGUCCAUGUUUUUCUUUUGUCUUGUUCUACAAUUAUGAAUAGCUGGGUUUUUGCUUGAAUAUAAGUUAGAUUAAUAUACGUCACAUUCGGUCUUUGAAUUGAGUUUUGGUUCCUAUUGGUUCAGGUUCUUCCUCGGCUAGAACAAAUUGAUCCAGUUUUCUCUUGGUCCUUCUGCUUGGGAUGAAAUCCAUCAUGCCGUCUUUAAAGCUUCCAAGCUUCUUCAUGGUGAUGAUGAACUGCUUAUUACAGAUAUGCCAAAGGAAGAGGUUGAAAGCUUAUUUGACUCUUAUGAAGAUUCUAAUUUUUCAAGGAUUGAAAGUACUGUAGUAGAAAAGGUUGAACUGAAGAGAGGUCUUCUAGAACAGUUUACACAUGAGAUGGAACCGUUACUAGGAAAGCAAGGUACAACCUGAUGUUGAUCAUGUUACAGUCAGAUGGAUCCCAUCCAAUAAUCUGUUUGCAAUAACGGUUAGCGUUAUUGAUCAAUACCCUGCUCAGAAAAAUGUUUACCAAAAUCAAGGUGUUUCCUUUCCGGAUUCGUGCUGAACUGAGCAUGAUGCAAUGCAGAGAAAGCUUAAAGUCUGACAAAAUGAGGAUAAAUUGAAAAUCUGGGGAAUUAACAGUCAAAAUGCCAGCGAUUUCCAGAGACCAUACAGCUUAUGCACUUAAGAAGGCACACAAGGCUUAGCUGCUCAAGUUAGGCAAAAUCACAGACCUCCUGCUUUCUAUCAAGCUUGGUUUUUUCUCUGUUUCCAUGUUCACCUUAUUCGAUCAGCCAAAUAAAAGUUCAACUUAACCCAAAUAUGAACCCUAAAUCCAAAUAUAAAAAUCUAAAAAGUACAUAAUAUUAUGUAAUAUUAAACUAUACAAUAUAGAUCACAAUACAAUUUUUACAGAUUAAACACAUGUAAAGAUAGUUAGAAUUUAAGAAAAUUACAAACUACAUAUUUCUAAACAAAAUAAAGCAUUUUUAUUAACCAUCAAAUAGAAUGGAACAUGAUAAAAUAAUAUAGUAACAAAAACUGAAAUGGAAUAGAAUGCAUAACAAAAUAGAAUGCAUAACAAAAUAUGAAAAAUACACAUAACUGUUCAUAAAUUCAGAUACAUACAUGUUUUGGUGUCUUCGCUACUGUCGCUUUUGGAAUCUGAGAAGCCUCUCCUUUCCAUCACCGACAAAGCCUCUUAAACCGGUCUCCUCCUCCACAAAACAUUUCGGAAACGUAGUCUGUAGUUUGGAAGAAUCUAUUCACUUCCCAAAUAUUGGUAAUAAAAAAUUUAUUUUGUGAAUAUAAGUGAAUAACAAAGAGCCACAUUUUAUGUUUCACAGUAAUUAUUAAUUAAAUUUUUGUUUCUUUACAGGUUGCACCGGUGAAAGAGAAGGCUAAUAUAAUAUUAUAAUAUAAAUGUAAUGGUAUGUAUAGAAAUGUUAGAAAAAUUGAUUACUCACUGAAUUAGGCUUUUUUCUAUGCCAUACAACCUAUGUUACACGGAAACGGAAGCGGGUACGUGGAAGCGGAAACGUAAGGAAGCGCAGAAACGAUAUUUUUUAAAAUAUUAGGAAGCGGGUACGUGUUGGAAGCGUAUAUCCAUAUAUAAAUAAAUAUAUAUAUAUAUAUACAUAUGUUAAUUUUUUAAAAAAACUAGGACUAAAAAUUAUAUGAUUUAAAUUUGAAAUAAAACAUUAAUUUAUUUAUAAUAAUUUUGAAAUGAUUUUAUAUUAAAACU